GACGAACGCUGGCGGCGUGCCUAAUACAUGCAAGUAGAACGCUGAAGAGAGGAGCUUGCUCUUCUUGGAUGAGUUGCGAACGGGUGAGUAACGCGUAGGUAACCUGCCUUGUAGCGGGGGAUAACUAUUGGAAACGAUAGCUAAUACCGCAUAACAAUGAUGACACAUGUCAUUUAUUUGAAAGGGGCAAUUGCUCCACUACAAGAUGGACCUGCGUUGUAUUAGCUAGUAGGUGAGGUAAUGGCUCACCUAGGCGACGAUACAUAGCCGACCUGAGAGGGUGAUCGGCCACACUGGGACUGAGACACGGCCCAGACUCCUACGGGAGGCAGCAGUAGGGAAUCUUCGGCAAUGGGGGCAACCCUGACCGAGCAACGCCGCGUGAGUGAAGAAGGGUUUCGGAUCGUAAAGCUCUGUUGUAAGUCAAGAACGGGUGUGAGAGUGGAAAGUUCACACUGUGACGGUAGCUUACCAGAAAGGGACGGCUAACUACGUG
rnacentral:rRNA from 1 species